rnacentral:SRP_RNA from 1 species
GCUGGGCAUAGUGGCGCAUGCCUGUAAUCCCAGCUACUUGGGAGGCUGAGGCAGGAGAAUCAUUUGAACCCAGGGGCUUAGGUUGCAGUGAGCCGAGAUCGCAUCAUUGCACUCUAGCCUGGGUGACAGAACGAGACUCUGUCUCAA